GGGCGAUUAGCUCAGUUGGUUAGAGCGUACGGUUCACAUCCGUAAGGUCACUGGUUCGAGCCCAGUAUCGCCCA
rnacentral:tRNA from 1 species